GUCCUUUUAGGGCCACACCUGCAGCAUAUGGAGGUUCCCAGGCUAGGGGUCUAAUUGGAGCUGUAGCUGCCGGCCUACACCACAGCCACAGCAACUCAGGAUCUGAGCUGCAUCUUCGACCUACCCACAGCUCAUGGGUAAUGCCAGAUCCUUAACCCACUGAGCGAGGCCAGGGAUCAAACCCGCAACCUCAUGGUUCCUAAAAGGAUUCGUUUCCGCUGCGCCAGGACGGAAACUCCUCAAAGGGAAAUCUUUUAAAUUUCAUCAUUUGUAUCAUUUGAACAUAUGAGAUAAAGUUUGUUGUAGAUUAUGUGUUAACAUGUUUUAUCAAAUUACAUCUGGAAAAUCUAAAAUCCUUAAAAAGGCCUGGGCGUUGUUUUGAACUCAGAUCUGGGGGAAAAAAAACCACGAGAAGUGAGUUGAGUUUGGUCCCAUCAGUCUGUGCCAACUUCUUCCAGAAGAAGCUGCAUUCAUUCAUUCAAAGCCUGGCACUGGAGUAGGCUUUGGUCUGGAGGAAUACAUCCAGAAAUCUGGAGCUGGUUGGUUUUGUGAACAUAUCCAAUAACGAAACGUGGCCUUAUCUCCCUCCUUCUCCUGGCAUUUAUAUAACCUGAUUUCUUUAGUUAGGUCAUUUUAAAAUAUACUGAAUGCCUACUACAGCAUCAGCCGUAUAAAGCUGAACACCAAGUCUUGAGAAAACCUCCUCCUGGAGUUCCCAUCAUGGCUUAGCAGUAACAAACCCAUGAGGUAACUAGGAUCCAUGAAGAUACAGGUUCAAUCCCUGGCUCUCACUGAGUGGGUGAGGGAUCAGGCGUUGCCAUGAGCUGUGACGUAGGUCGAAGACACAGCUUGCAUCCUGCGUUGCUGUGCCUGUGGUGUGGGCCGGCAGCUGCAGUUCUGAUUUGACCCCUAGCCUGGGAACUUCCAUAUGGAUCAGGUGUGGCCUGAAAAGAAAAAGAAAAAAAAAAAAAUAGAAGAGGAAGAAAAAAACUUCCUCCUGCUUCCCUCUAGUGACUGUCCUUUCCUCUUAUGGACAGUUAUUCUGCAGGAUAGUUGACAGCCAUGUUCUUCGAUCCUCAUUUUUUUUUUUUUCUUGUCUUUUUUGUCUUUUUAGGGCUGCACGCACUGCAUAUGGAGGUUUCCAGGCUAGGGGUCCAAUUGGAGCUGUAGCCACUGGCCUACACCACAGCCACAGCCAACGCUGGAUCCUUAACCCCCGGACGGAGGCCAGGGAUCGAACCCUCGUCCUCAUGGAUGCUAGUCGGGUUCAUUAACCGCUGUUUCACGAUGGGAACUCCCUUUCCAUCCUCAUUCUUCAGGGAACACAGGAGACAACAGAGACCGACACGGGCGGAAUAGAUGACCACAGAAGCAAUCCUGGCUUCUGCUCGUCUUAAGGAUAAUUCACUCGUGGGCUCUCAGGUCCUGGGCCUCUGUGUUGGGCUAGUAGUGCAGCAGAACUGAGAAAGUCCAGAAAACUAGACUGGCUUACAUCUGAAAUUUGCUGCCAGGGAGAAAUGAACAGACGUAAAAGGUGAAGUGAGCCUCAGAGAAAGACCAGAGCCAGUGGGGUGAGUCUGAAGGAGGCCAGCGUUUGAAAGAGUUUGGAGAGAGAAGACCAAGCUAUUUUAAGUGGCACCUGCUGCUGUGUCAAAAAAUGACAGAGACUUGGGGAAAGAAAGUUGGAAGCAGAGUCUCUCUUAGGAAUCCCCGCCCCUUUGAUUUAAGCUGCUUUUGAUUCUCCUUUGAUGUUGGUCUUGUGUCUCUUCUGAGAUGACACAACACCAGCUAGACUACAGGCAUGGAUAUGUGCAAAUUAUCCAGAUUUAGGCUCCGCAAGUCAAAUCUCGGCCCUGUCUUGUAAUACUCAUGUGACUGUGGCCUUCUCUUCCAGAACCAAAACACCUGCCUUAACGUUUUUGUAAAAAUUAAACAGGACAACAGAUGCAGGUUUUUGCUCAAGCCUUGCAGAAUCACAAUUGCUUCUCCCCUCCGCCCUUUUUUUUUGGUUCCUCCAUAGAAAUUUGAAAUUUGACUAGAGUCAGAAAAAUGGGGGCCCCCAACCACAGGAUGACGGGGGAAAACAGUCUGGCCGAAGGGAGAGACAACCAGUGGUGACACGCGCAGCCCAGCCUCUAUUCCCACAGGCAGAAGUACACGGGGAUAGACAAGGGCACCUUUAUGCCUUCAGAAAUAUUGAAGUUAAUUAAGUUGCUACGGUGCUAAAAUAUUUUUGUAAAAGAAAGGAGUAUUUAUUGAUAUAUUACUUAUCCUUUUUUUUUUUUUCAGGUGAGCAUGUGUUCCUGGGCCAGGGAGUCAACGCGAGCCACAGCAGCAACCCAAGCCACUGCAGGGACAUGCCGGAUCCUUACCUCACUGUGCUGCAAGGAACCUAUUUAUUGUGCUCACGGAGUCACAGACGGCUAGCCUGCCCCUCGGAGUUUCUACCGUGAUGGACAAACUAGCAAUCCCAGAUGUCCACCAAUAAACCCGUGAAGGCAGCCCAGCUGGAUGCAGGGAGCACAAGUCUGCGGUCAAGGCUACCCCUCACUGCUCCUGAGCCUCAGGCCACCAGUUAUCAGCACCUUGCCCUCCAUGCAGCUGCCCUAGAGCACGUGCAUGGCUGUCAUGGCUAGAUGUGUAAACAUCCGAGCCCUCGGUGGAUGAACUGAGACUGUCUCCUGCAUCCUAGCACAUCUAUCCCCUUCUGCUAGUGCAGUGCCUGGCUCAGGGUGGAGUCAGCGUUUGCUGA
rnacentral:lncRNA from 1 species